AUUGAACGCUGGCGGCAUGCUUUACACAUGCAAGUCGAACGGUAACAGGUUAAGCUGACGAGUGGCGAACGGGUGAGUAAUGCAUCGGAACGUGCCCGAUCGUGGGGGAUAACGCAGCGAAAGCUGCGCUAAUACCGCAUACGAUCUGAGGAUGAAAGCGGGGGACCGUAAGGCCUCGCGCGAUCGGAGCGGCCGAUGUCAGAUUAGGCAGUUGGUGGGGUAAAGGCUCACCAAGCCAACGAUCUGUAGAUGGUCUGAGAGGACGACCAGCCACACUGGGACUGAGACACGGCCCAGACUCCUACUGGAGUCAGCAGUGGGGAAUUUUGGACAAUGGGCGAAAGCCUGAUCCAGCAAUGCCGCGUGCAGGAAGAAGGCCUUCGGGUUGUAAACUGCUUUUGUGCGGAGCGAAAAGGUUCUCUCUAAUACAGAGGGCUCAUGACGGUACCGUAAGAAUAAGCACCGGCUAACUACGUGCCAGCCGCCGCAGUAAAAC
rnacentral:rRNA from 1 species